rnacentral:rRNA from 1 species
UGGGGAAUAUUGCACAAUGGGCGAAAGCCUGAUGCAGCAACGCCGCGUGAACGAUGAAGGUCUUCGGAUCGUAAAGUUCUGUUGCAGGGGAAGAUAAUGACGGUACCCUGUGAGGAAGCCCCGGCUAACUACGUGCCAGCAGCCGCGGUAAUACGUAGGGGGCUAGCGUUAUCCGGAUUUACUGGGCGUAAGGGUGCGUAGGUGGUCCAUCAAGUCGGUGGUUAAAGGCUACGGCUCAACCGUAGUAAGCCUCCGAAACUGUUGGACUUGAGUGCAGGAGAGGAAAGUGGAAUUCCCAGUGUAGCGGUGAAAUGCGUAGAUAUUGGGAGGAACACCAGUAGCGAAGGCGGCUUU